AGCAGCCGCGGUAAUUCCAGCUCCAAUAGCGUAUAUUAAAGUUGUUGCAGUUAAAAAGCUCGUAGUUGAAUUUCGGGGUCUGUCCGUCGGUCGGGCUUCACGGUCCGUACUGGUGUGAUGGGUUCCUACCUUCUGAAUAACCGGCAUGCCAUUCAGUUGGUGCGCCGGGGAAGCAGAGCUAUUACCUUGAAAAAAUUAGAGUGCUUAAAGCAGGCUAGUGCUUGAAUAGAUUAGCAUGGAAUAAUAAAAUAGGACGGCAUGGUUCUAUUUUGUUGGUUUCUAGGAUCACCGUAAUGAUUAAUAGGGAUAGUUGGGGGCAUUAGUAUUCAAUUGUUAGAGGUGAAAUUCUUGGAUUUAUUGAAGACUAACUACUGCGAAAGCAUUUGCCAAGGAUGUUUU
rnacentral:rRNA from 1 species